ACGUAGGAGGCGAGCGUUAUUCGGAUUUACUGGGCGUAAAGCGCGUGCAGGCGGCUCGAUAAGUUGGAUGUGAAAGCUCCCGGCUUAACUGGGAGAGGUCGUUCAAUACUGUCGGGCUAGAGGAUGAGAGAGGGAGGUGGAAUUCCGAGUGUAGUGGUGGAAUGCGUAGAUAUUCGGAGGAACACCAGUGGCGAAAGCGGCCUCCUGGCUCAUAUCUGACGCUCAGACGCGAAAGCUAGGGUAGCAAACGG
rnacentral:rRNA from 1 species